rnacentral:rRNA from 1 species
GUCUGCUCAGAGACGCUACGCAGCUAUCAGCAAGUCGGACGGACCAUCGGAGAGCUGCUCGAAGAUGGUGAGAGUGGCGCACGGGUGCGUAACGCGUGAGCAACCUGCCUCCAUCAGGGGGAUAGCCUCUCGAAAGAGAGAUUAACACCGCAUAACAUCUCCGGUUGGCAUGGGCAGUUGAUUAAAUAUUUAUAGGAUGGAGAUGGGCUCGCGUGACAUUAGCUAGUUGGUAGGGUAACGGCUUACCAAGGCGACGAUGUCUAGGGGCUCUGAGAGGAGAAUCCCCCACACUGGUACUGAGACACGGACCAGACUCCUACGGGAGGCAGCAGUAAGGAAUAUUGGUCAAUGGGCGGAAGCCUGAACCAGCCAUGCCGCGUGCAGGAUGACUGCCCUAUGGGUUGUAAACUGCUUUUGUCCGGGAAUAAACCUAAAUACGUGUAUUUAGCUGAAUGUACCGGAAGAAUAAGGAUCGGCUAACUCCGUGCCAGCAGCCGCGGUAAUACGGAGGAUCCGAGCGUUAUCCGGAUUUAUUGGGUUUAAAGGGUGCGUAGGCGGCCUGUUAAGUCAGGGGUGAAAUACGGUGGCUCAACCAUCGCAGUGCCUUUGAUACUGACGGGCUUGAAUCCAUAUGAAGUGGGCGGAAUAAGACAAGUAGCGGUGAAAUGCAUAGAUAUGUCUUAGAACUCCGAUUGCGAAGGCAGCUCACUAAGCUGGUAUUGACGCUGAUGCACGAAAGCGUGGGGAUCGAACAGGAUUAGAUACCCUGGUAGUCCACGCCCUAAACGAUGAUAACUCGAUGUUGGCGAUAGACAGCCAGC